GAGUCCGCGUCUCAUUAGCUUGUUGGUGGGGUAACGGCCUACCAAGGCAACGAUGAGUAGCUGGUCUGAGAGGAUGAUCAGCCUCACUGGGACUGAAACACGGCCCAGACUCCUACGGGAGGCAGCAGUGGGGAAUAUUGCGCAAUGGGGGAAACCCUGACGCAGCGACGCCGCGUGUAGGAAGAAGGCCUUCGGGUCGUAAACUACUGUCAAGAGGGAAGAAACUGUUAGGUCAUAAUACGGCCUUUCACUGACGGUACCUCUAGAGGAAGCACCGGCUAACUCCGUGCCAGCAGCCGCGGUAAUACGGAGGGUGCGAGCGUUAAUCGGAAUCACUGGGCGUAAAGCGUGCGUAGGCGGCGCUUCAAGUCAGACGUGAAAGCCCUCGGCUCAACCGAGGAAUUGCGUUUGAAACUGUAGUGCUAGAGUCUCGGAGAGGUCAGGGGAAUUCCAGGUGUAGGAGUGAAAUCCGUAGAUAUCUGGAGGAACACCGGUGGCGAAGGCGCCUGACUGGACGAGUACUGACGCUGAGGUACGAAAGCGUGGGGAGCAAACAGGAUUAGAUACCCUGGUAGUCCACGCCGUAAACGAUGGAUGCUAGGUGCCGGGC
rnacentral:rRNA from 1 species